CCCCUCUCAGGGUCACAGCCGGAGAGUUCCCACUACUCUACCGGUCUCGACUACAGGAGGGUCAGGCAGAGACAUACCCAUUCCAUUCUUAGCUUGGGCAGCGGCUAGCGAGUGGAAGGCAAUCUGCUACAAGU